rnacentral:rRNA from 1 species
GGAAUUUUGCGCAAUGGGCGAAAGCCUGACGCAGCAACGCCGCGUGAGGGAUGAAGGCCCUCGUGUCGUAAACCUCUGUCGGAGGGGAAGAACGGUUUCCGUUCGAAUAGUGCGGAAGCCUGACGGUACCUUCCAAGGAAGCACCGGCUAACUCCGUCCCAGCAGCCGCGGUAAUACGGAGGGUGCAAGCGUUGUUCGGCAUCAUUGGGCGUAGAGCGCGUGUAGGCGGCUUGGCAAGUCGGGUGUGAAAUCCCGGGGCCCAACCCCGGAACUGCAUUCGAAACUGCCUCGCUAGAGUCCCGGAGAGGAAGGCGGAAUUCCCGGUGUAGAGGUGAAAUUCGUAGAUAUCGGGAGGAACACCAGUGGCGAAGGCGGCCUUCUGGACGGUGACUGACGCUGAGACGCGAAAGCGUGGGGAGCGAAC